GUAAACAAUUGUUGAUCGCCCGUCUUGCAUGCCUCAUAAGCCGCGUCACGUGCCGCGCAGGCAUCUGCGUGUGGCAAGAGCGCAUCAACGACGGGUUUGUUGCCGGUGCGCACCGCAAUGGCGAGCCACCCUGCGGCGACGCACAUGUGUGGAUGGGCCUGCGCCAUAACCAGUGCCAUGCGCGCCACGUCGCUAUCGUGACGGGUCAUUGCAGCCAUGGCAUCUCUGUUUUGCGCCGUCGGCGCAUUGGGGUUGUUUGUCUCACAAAAAAGGUCGCCCAACAGACGUCGCCAGUCAAUCUCGGAGCGACAUUGACAUUGGCCUUUUAUGUGGAGGCGUAUCUCUUUUGCGCCCACAUGGCCCAGUGCGUCGGCAUCGUGAUGGUCGAUGGCACAGCGAAUGGCGUCGCACGAGACAGAAAACCCAUAACACAGUCGGCGCCAGCGGUCAAAGUGUGGCGCACGUGGACCGUGGCCACGGCAUGCGCACGCCGAGGCCAUUUCGGCAGUGUCGGGUUGGACGCCCAUUGAAAUGAGCCACUCGAUGACGUCGACGCGGCACGCCUUGGCGGCCGCUGCAACGGCAUCACGGGCAUAUUUGGCGCCGUCGUGCCUUUGCCACAGCAAUACGAGCGCGUCGAUGGCGCCCGUCGACGCUGCCGUCUCGACAUCAAAAGGCCUACAGCGCUCGGGCGUGACAUUGCGUUUGUAGCCGAGACCAAACUCGUCGAGCAACGCAGUGGCCACAGUGAGGUGGCCACCGACGGCGGCGCUCGACCACACGCUAGUCUGGUGACGAGCAUCCUUUACACGACGAGGUGCGUCGAGGAGCAUACGCACCAGAUCGAGAUGGCCCCCCUUUGCAGCGGCCGUCGCGGCGCCCCACGUGUCGCCUAGGAGAUUGGCGUCGAGCAGGCAGCGGACGACGUCGGCGCGCCCUGCAAGGGCCGCUUCAUGGCCAUCAGGUGGUUCCGGGCAUAGACCGACAGACACAAGCGCCUUAUAAGCCCAGCGUAUGGCGUCUACAUUGCCCCGCUUGGUGGCCGUGUCCCACGCGUGCCCAAUCGUAUAGUCGAUGCCGUGCACAUAGGGAAAGACGCGCCUUUGGGCCUGAUCGAGCGGUUGGGGCGCGCACAGGGCCGACAGAUAGCGUCGCCACAACCAGUCGGCCUCGUCGACGAGGCCUCUGGCGAGUGCGUCUGAUAUGGCGCGCGGAUAGCAAUGGAAUCCAUGGCCAGGGUAGGGCGCUUGGUCGUCGUAGCGACUGCGCGGCAUGGGCAUGCGUAGGUGGCGACUGCACGGGCAGGCCGAGUCUGGAUAGCGAUCCUGUGGACGGUUCUGGCGUGUCCAAAAGAGUCGCGACGCCAUGCGACAGCGGGCUACGUCGCACGGAUCGUCCAACUUGGACACGAUGGCAUCGACCAUUUCAACAGGCAAAGAGUCGAGACCGAUACCCGGAGCAACAGGAUCGUCGACACACAUCUUGUGGUCCAAGUCGUCGUGGCCUCUUCGAGUGCUGGCCUUGGGACGACGUCGACGACGCACCGCAUGUUGCCGGCGCCGCAUGUGAAAUCAAAAGAGGUCGUAAAAACACUGCGGGGCGGCUCACGAACUUGCACCAGUGUGUGGCAAGAGACACUAAAAACCGCACGAGACCCGAAGCGCAGGGCGCAACAAUGAACUCCCCACACAACCCAUCCCUUUUUUUCAGUGGAGAACCAAGGCCCAAUGCUUUUUGGCUUGUUUUCGACCAAUCAAAAUUUUUCCAAG
rnacentral:lncRNA from 1 species